GGCUUUAGCAGAUCACAGAAGAGAUUUAAAAUUAGACAAUCUUAAUGAAGAUAACCGUAAUGGGUCGAGCGAUGAUGUUAACACUGGAGGUGGUGAUGGGUGUGGUGAGCACUUCGGCUCAUAAGUGCGUCCAGUGUAAGGAUUGCAACGGUGACGAAGUCGCCACAGAGUGCCCGAAUGGUCAAAACGCAUGCUAUACGAAUACAGACGGUGACACUGUGAACAA